UCCGAUGGCUUUUGUGUUGGGGCGAUGAUGAUUAGCCGUGUCUGAAAUAUGUGUGCCUUCGAGCAAUCGAGGCACCUGUGGGUACCAAGUUGAAUCCUCCCUCUUGUCUCUAGAAUCCUUUUUGAUCCUGUGAUACUUGUUGCUCUAUCCUUGGAUGGUCAUUCUUGUUGAGUGAUAGCCAGGGCAGCACCACUGUAUAAACAUAUUGAUCUGGUGAUAAGAGACGGGGGUAGGUUAUAUGAUCGAGGAAAGUCAGAUCUGAGCCCACUAUGCAAUGAACCCUGGAUCCUUUUUAUUUGUAUUUAAAUGUGUUGCUUAUUUAUGCUCCGGUGUUUAUAGUCGUCUUAUGUAAAGAUUUCUUCUCUCUCAUACCUUUAUUACAUAUGAGUUGUUCUUGAUUUUUUAUUGUUUGUUGUUGGUCCUUGAUUUAAUCUGGUUAAGAGUAAGAUGCACUUUGUUAUACUAGAAAGACAUGCUCCCAGCAAGUUAUAGGGCCCUCUCUUGCUGCCUUAAGUUUGUAUGGUAAAGUAUGCAUCAUGUGUGCCUCUGUUUUGUUUCCCUCUUGUAUUCAUAUAUCUUGCUUCACAUAUCAUGGCACUUGAUAUAUGCAUGGUUGUUGGCGAUCGGACGCCACCGCCGCCGCCGAUGCCAUCAUGGCUCUUGCCGCCGUCAAACAUUAAGCUUGAGUCUCAGUUUGAUCUUACGGUUCUACGGCUCAAAGGUUGAUGACUGCCAUGAGGCACUACCCAGUUAAAUCUUCAUAACUUGUUGAGCAUGAGCUUUUCUUCUUAAUUAUUUUCAUCUUCUUAGCCUUGCCACAUCAUCUCUUAAAAAUAGUUUGAAUCCAUCAACUGUGUGCUCUGCCUAUGCAAUUCACUGAACCAUAAGAUUAAAACCUUCAUAAGGUGUAGCCCUGUCUCCAACUACCUUCUGAAUAUUAACAUUUUUGUUGGAAAAAGAAGAAAGAUUGAAUCAUAGUUUGCACUAAAUGAAAAUGAGUUUUUUUUUACAUUUUGUUCACUCACUAGGAGGGUCACUAUUUAUAUGCUUGCUUCAACUUUUUCUGGAUCACCAUGUAAAUCAUUUGUACACGAGCUCUGGAACAAGAAAAACAAUAAUCACAAGGAUGGAGGCUUAACAUGUAUUUUGUUUGCCAUCUGGUGUUUAUCUAAUUUUUUGAUGGUGUGACCAAAACCAGAUUACCUUUUCUAAUGUUAGUAUUGUAGUGUUAUCUGCAAUGGCAUCUACUAUAUAUACUGAAAGUAGUUUUAUUUAUCUUUAGAACUUGAUAUAUUUUCUAAAACCAUUUAUUAUGCUUCUAUUUGUAUCUAUGACUUCUGAAGCAAGUCAACACCCACAUAGGCAAACAAACCAAACUGCCGGUAGAGUCACUGUAUAUAAGAAAAUUUACUUUGCUUCCAGUAGUGGGUUUAGGCUUGAUAGAAGCUUGGUUGUUUAUAUUUUCAGAAAAUUGGAUCUAUCAUGAUUAAGAUAUGGUCAACAUGUAUAUAUUUGGUUCUACUAUGCCCUCCACUGUUGCUUAGCAAUGUGAUUGCUUAAUGAUUACUACGACAUAUCUUGCUAGGUCCAAGCUGAUAACAAUCCUCUUGGUCUUCAAAUUUUUGUCGAGGCGGCAGGGAUCAAAGAAUAACAGAUCUGGGUCUUCGCCUUCCAAGACUAGAAGGGGGAAAUCAUCGCUCACUGUCCAUAUGCUUUACAAGCAAAUCUCAAGUGCAUUGCCUAUACAAAAAUAAUUUUUUGGUCAUUUAUCUCACAAACUAUUCACAUCAAGUUCAUAUGGAAUGGCACUCACGGAGGCAAUUGAACCAAGCUAUCUAUUGUAUGCCUAACUAUGGCUUCAUAGUUUUAUCGCCUCCAUUGCCAUUGUUGGCUUUCUCUCUCUUAUGUUUCUGCUCAUAUUACUGAACUUAAUGUUAGCUAAUUAGUUUUUCUAUUCGUAUGACCGUAGUGGAUGCUGCCUUGCUUCUAGCACGGGUUAACUUUGAUAGUCUCAUACCCAUGUUUAACUUGAUGAUGUUACUCUUCUGGCACAUAUUGAAUGUUUCUUCUUACUCUUGAACCAGCCAGA